CCUGAGCUCAAAAGUGCAUACUCACCUAAUAGGGGUAUAGGAACCUAAACCUGGUGUGGGGAAUGCUGAACAGCCACUUGCUGGCGCAGCUUUAUUCACUCAACAUUUAUGGAGCCCUGAGUCUGACUUUGCCCCGGAUUAGGGUAGUCCCUAGCCUCGUAAAUGAGUGCAGGACCCAGUUCCAGGACAUGGUGGCGGGCUGGCAGAGAGGAGCCAGGAAAAACUUCCAUCCAUAUCUUGAAGUCAGACCCACACUCUCCGAGUCGGGGGUGAGAAUGUCCGUGCGGGGGGAGAGUUCGAUGCCCGGACCUGACGCCUCCGCCAAACCCACCUUCUGAGCGGUAGCCACCCCACCUCCUGGCCGCCUCCACCGAGCUGGCCUCGCGGUGGCGCUGCUACUCCUGGAAUGUUCUAGCUUACAGUCGGGCCAGCCCAGCAGCGUCCCAGCUGGAAGAUUUAAACAAGACAGUAAUUAAAUGGAACUAGGCAUAAAGCGAGACCGGCAGCCCCAUUAUAUGGCUUACAAAAGAGAGCUGACUCAUCUCAGCUUAGGACCCAGCACUGGGCGGCGUCCACUGGGCAGCUGUAGUUAUUAUGUAAACUACCCCCACCUCUGAGUGGAUCUUAAGGAGGAAUCAGGGGGUCUCACUCCUCACGUGGCGGUGCAUCAUUAAUCUUACAGGAUCAGAGUUUGAUUUUAUUUAUUUUUUUAAAGGUUUAUUUUUGAGAGAGAGAGAGAGAGAGAGAGAGAGAGAGAAUCCCAAGCAGGCCCCGCGCUGUCAGCAUAGAACCUGAUUGCCAGGCUUGAUCCCAUGAAUUGUGAGAUCAUGACCUGAGCCAAAAUCAGGUGUUGGAAGCUCAACUGACUGAGCCACCGAGGUGCCCCUGGCCUUCUGUGAAGACUUGUGCAGAAGCAGGGAGAAGGCCAUGUGAAGACAAAGGCUUCUACAAGCCAAGAAUUGCCAAAUCGUGUCAACAAACUGCCAGAAAACAGCGGCCUUGUUCAUAGAUUCUCUGUCACAGCCUCAGAGGGCACUAAAUCUGCCAAGACCUUGGUUUCGAACGCUGGCCUUCAGGCCGGUGAGACAACAGUUUCUGUCGUUUAAGCCACUGACUUUGUGGUACUCUGCUCUGGCAGACUACUACCGUGGGUUUGGAGCAGACAGACAGCAACUGGGCACCAUCCCCGACCCUCGCUUGGCCCAGGGGAGAGAAGGCUCGCCAUGCAAGGACCACUUGGGCUCAGACAGUGGGCGUCUCAAGCGCCCUCCGUGUGGAGAGAAGAUUCCCACCCCACGGAGAAGCUCUCCUCUCCAGCGGACAAAGGACCAAGGACAGAGACCACCACCAUCCUUCCAAGCGUGCCUGAGGUUGGAUAGCUUACCCUCUUGGCAAAGGGCGGCUCAUAAUCAAAUUUUAUUUGAUUUAGGAAAAAUACCGACGGUUCUCGUACCUGAGUGUUAUCGAAUAAACCCAUGCUUGAUAUGCCAGGGUUUUUUUCACUCCGCCAGUGGUCAUCUUUCAAACAAGCCAGUGAGAGAAAGACUCCUGGUGACCUUCAGCUUUCAGCCACCUGCUGCUGGUUGGGUGGCCACGAUGUCGGAGUGGCAGGUGCCCCAUGAGGGGCUGGUGAUGUGGAACCGAGCUAUUCCGGGCGCGUCAUUUUGCCUGUGGGUAUUUCAGCAACACAAGCUCCUCCAUCAGAAGGCAGAGCCAGGGCCUGGCUGGGGCUGUUUCUGGUUGCUAUGGAGAUGAGCCCCACCCCAGGUUCCCAGUCCAGACCUCCCUGCUCUGUCAAGUUCAGUCUCCCCAGACGCAGCUGUAAGGCCUAUUCCGAGCAGUUCCUGUUGUGGCAGUGUUUACCUAAGCCUCCCGCUGUCCGUUCCCACUUCUGUGCCUCCAAAGCCCUGGAAAGACAUGGGCGUCACCUCUGAAGGUGUCCCCACCCCGGCAAUGAGGAGCCAGGCCUGGAGGGACCCCUCUGAUGGGGGGGACUCAGGGAGAAGAGCGACCAAGAGAGGCUGUUGCAGACGUGGGCCCCUCCCUGCUAU